rnacentral:rRNA from 1 species
AUGGGCGAAAGCCUGAUGCAGCGACGCCGCGUGGGGGAUGAAGCUUUUCGGAGUGUAAACCCCUUUCGACCCGGACGAAUGCCCCGCAAGGGGACUGACGGUACGGGUAUAAGAAGCCCCGGCUAACUACGUGCCAGCAGCCGCGGUAAGACGUGGGGGGCCAGCGUUGCUCGGAAUUACUGGGUGUAAAGGGUUCGUAGGCGGUGUAGCAAGUCGGGAGUGAAAUCUCUGGGCUCAACCCAGAGACUGCUUCCGAAACUGCUGUGCUUGAGUGUGGGAGAGGCGCGUGGAAUUGCAGGUGUAGCGGUGAAAUGCGUAGAUAUCUGCAGGAACACCCGUGGCGAAAGCGGCGCGCUGGACCACUACUGACGCUGAGGAACGAAAGCUAGGGGAGCAAACAGGAUUAGAUACCCUGGUAGUCCUAGCCCUAAACGAUCAGGACUUGGGGUGCCGCACGUUCGUGCGUCGUCCCGGAGCUAACGCGUUAAGUCCUGCGCCUGGGGAGUA